rnacentral:rRNA from 1 species
GAGUUUGAUCAUGGCUCAGAACGAACGUUGGCGGCGUGGAUGAGGCAUGCAAGUCGCGCGUGAAAGUUCCUUCGGGAGCGAGUAAAGCGGCGGACGGGUGAGCAAUACGUACUCUAGCUGCCCUCGAGACGGGGAUAACCACGGGAAACCGUGGCUAAUACCCGAUGUUUCGUUGUCACUGCAUGGUGGUAACGGCAAACGGUGGGGACCCUUCGGGGCCUGCUGCUCGAGGAUGCGAUUACAGCCUAUCAGCUAGUUGGUGGGGUAAUGGCCUACCAAGGCGACGACGGGUAGCCGGCCUGAGAGGGUGGUCGGCCACGCUGGGACUGAGACACUGCCCAGACUCCUACGGGAGGCUGCAGUUGAGAAUCUUCCGCAAUGGGCGAAAGCCUGACGGAGCGACGCCGCGUGAAGGAUGAAGGCCCUCGGGUUGUAAACUACUGUCACGGGUUAUGAAUGUACAUAUGUUAACAGCGUGUGUAUUGACGUAAGCCCGAAAGGAAGCACCGGCUAACUCUGUG